GCUAUAUACAGGGGGCACCGGUACCGAGUCAGUGUGGAGGUUAUAUACAGGGGGCACCGGUACAGAGUCAGUGUGGAGGUUAUAUACAGGGGGCACCGGUACCGAGUCAGUGUGGAGGCUAUAUACAGGGGGCACCGGUACCGAGUCAGUGUGGAGGUUAUAUACAGGGGGCACCGGUACCGAGUCAGUGUGGAGGCUAUAUACAGGGGGCACCGGUACCGAGUCAGUGUGGAGGCUAUAUACAGGGGGCACCGGUGUGGAGGUUAUAUACAGGGGGCACCGGUACCGAGUCAGUGUGGAGGCUAUAUACAGGGGGCACCGGUACCGAGUCAGUGUGGAGGCUAUAUACAGGGGGCACCGGUACCGAGUCAGUGUGCUGGGGUACAGGCUAUUUGCGGUAAUCUCUACAUGUAGUUGGGGGCGAAGUGACUAUGCAAUGGCAACAAACAAACA